rnacentral:rRNA from 1 species
UCCGUAGGGUGCGAGCGUUAAUCGGAAUUCCUGGGCGUAAAGCGUGCGCAGGCGGUUUUGCACGCCGGAUGUGAAAUCCCCGGGCUCAACCUGGGAAUGGCAUUCGGGACUGCAAGGCUGGAGUGCGGCAGAGGAGACUGGAAUUCCUGGUGUAGCAGUGAAAUGCGUAGAUAUCGGGAGGAACACCAGUGGCGAAGGCGGCCUUCUGGACCAGUACUGACGCUCAUGCACGAAAGCGUGGGGAGCAAACAGG